GACGAACGCUGGCGGCGCGCUUAACACAUGCAAGUCGAGCGAGAACCAUGGCUUCGGCCAUGGGGACAGCGGCGAACGGGUGAGUAACACGUGGGUAAUCUGCCCUCGGCACUGGGAUAGCCCGGGGAAACCCGGAUUAAUACCGGAUGGCCUCUCGAGCUCUUGGGCUCGUGAGAAAAGGUAGCUUCGGCCUCCGGCCGAGGAGGAGCCCGCGGCGGAUUAGCUUGUUGGUGAGGUAAAGGCCCACCAAGGCGACGAUCCGUAGCUGGUGUGAGAGCAUGACCAGCCACACUGGGACUGAGGCACGGCCCAGACUCCUACGGGAGGCAGCAGUGGGGAAUCUUGCGCAAUGGGCGAAAGCCUGACGCAGCGACGCCGCGUGCGGGAAGAAGGCCUUCGGGUUGUAAACCGCUUUCAGGAGGGACGAAGCCACUCGGGUGAAUAGCCCAGAGGGUGACGGUACCUCCAGAAGAAGCCCCGGCUAACUACGUGCCAGCCGCCGCCGUAACAC
rnacentral:rRNA from 1 species